UAUUGGUCAAUGGGCGGGAGCCUGAACCAGCCAAGCCGCGUGAGGGAAUAAGGCCCUACGGGUCGUAAACCUCUUUUGUCAGGGAGCAAGGCCGUCCACGAGUGGACAGAAGGAGAGUACCUGAAGAAAAAGCAUCGGCUAACUCCGUUCCAGCAGCCGCGGUAAUACGGAGGAUGCGAGCGUUAUCCGGAUUUAUUGGGUUUAAAGGUUGCGUAGGCGGCCUGCCAAGUCAGAGGUAAAAUUGCGGGGCUCAACCCCGUAGAGCCGUUGAAACUGCCGGGCUCGAGUGGGCGAGAAGUAUGCGGAAUGCGUGGUGUAGCGGUGAAAUGCAUAGAUAUCACGCAGAACCCCGAUUGCGAAGGCAGCAUACCGGCGCCCUACUGACGCUGAGGCACGAAAGUGCGGGGAUCA
rnacentral:rRNA from 1 species